CAGCAUCAAUCUUCUCACCUUUUUUUCCAUACAUAUCUGGGUUCCUUCCUCCUAAUAAUGAUUAAUUAAUUUCAAGUAUAAGUAAGUAACUAAACAAAAGGGAUAAGAGCAAGGUCCAAAAAUGAGCAGCAUGAAGGUAGCGAAAGGGCGUAUCCUGGUUGGUAAAUACGAGUUGGGAAAAACAAUUGGAGAGGGAAGCUUUGCCAAGGUGAAGUUCGCCAGGAACGUCCAGAACGGUAACUAUGUCGCCAUCAAAAUCCUCGACCGUAAACAUGUCCUCCGCCUCAACAUGAUGGAACAGCUCAUGAAAGAAAUAUCAACCAUGAAGUUAAUCAAUCACCCCAACGUUGUUAGAAUACUUGAGGUGUUGGCAAGCAAAACAAAGAUUUACAUUGUUCUGGAGUUUGUUGAUGGGGGAGAACUAUUUGACAAAAUUGCUGCAAAUGGAAGACUUAAAGAAGAUGAAGCAAGAAAUUAUUUCCAACAGCUUAUUAAUGCUGUUGAUUACUGCCAUAGUAGAGGCGUGUAUCACAGAGAUUUGAAGCCUGAGAAUCUUCUAGACUCAAAUGGUGUCCUUAAAGUUUCAGAUUUUGGUUUGAGUACAUACUCACAGAAAGAGGAUGAACUGCUCCACACUGCAUGUGGAACCCCAAAUUAUGUUGCACCUGAGGUGCUUAAUGAUAGAGGUUAUGUUGGUUCUACAUCUGAUAUUUGGUCUUGUGGAGUCAUUCUCUUUGUACUUAUGGCUGGGUACUUGCCUUUUGAUGAACCAACUCAUAUGGCUCUGUACAAAAAAAUUGGCAGGGCAGAAUUCUCUUGUCCAUCAUGGUUUUCGCCACAGGCAAAGAAAUUGCUAAAACACAUUCUUGACCCAAACCCUCUAACGAGGAUAAAAAUUCCUGAGCUCUUAGAAGAUGAAUGGUUCAAAAAAGGAUACAAGCCAACAUCCUUCACUGAGGAAGAGGAUCUAAAUGUAGAUGAUGUAGUCGUUGCUUUCAAUGAGUCUAAUGAAAAUCUAGUGACAGAGAGAAAAGAGAAACCCGUCUCCAUGAAUGCUUUUGAGCUCAUUUGUAGGUCACAAAGUUUCAAUCUUGACAGUUUGUUUGAGAAGCAAACGGGUCAAGUAAAGCAAGAAACAAGUUUUACUUCACAGUGCCCUGCAAAUGAAAUUAUGUUUAAAAUCGAGGAAGCAGCCAAGCCACUGGGCUUUAAUGUACACAAGCGAAAUUAUAAGAUGAAGUUGCAAGGUGACAAGAGUGGGAGGAAGGGUCACCUUUCAGUGGCUACUGAGGUUUUUGAAGUGGCGCCAUCCGUGCAUAUGGUGGAGCUGCGAAAGACAGGGGGUGAUACAUUAGAGUUUCAUAAGGCAUGUGAAAAUUCCUUGUCUUUGCUUUUGAUCCAGAAAUACAAGAGUCAUAUCAGGAAAUCUGCAACCCAGAUUUAAUUCAUUUGGGAUUCUUACUACUGCUCGACUUAGAUCUUUUGCAAAGCCUUUUUCCUAUCACUUUUCUCUGUUCUACAAAAUAUUCUCAUCAGGGUUGCAAGACAUAGUGUGGCAUGAUACUGAAGGAAAAAAAAAUAUGAAGAAUUAAGGUAUCGCCUAUUCCUAUAUUUCCCCUUACCUAUAUGCCACAUGUAUCCUAUGAAAGAGAACGUUUUGAUCAUGUACCAUUUUGUCCACAGCAACCUCUAGGGAAAGCAAUCAUCAUAUUCAUAGGGUUACGCCUUCAAUGAUUCGUUUGAUUAAUUCAUAAAUCGGGUUAUUGUUCUGUUUCUACUUCUAGUGCCAUUCCCUUAUUGUGGUUCGUGGAGUUCCCAUGCUUUGCUAAAUCUGGAACUUUGGAUGUGUCUGGUUGGAUGUUCGAUAUGAAAGAGAGAAAAAUAGAUCCCUUAUUGGUGCUUUAUCUUUGACGCUGUAUUCUUAAUUUUUUUUUUACUACCGUAUUCAGUAUAGACGUAGUAAAUAUAUAUAAAUGGGGGAAAAUAGUAUAAGUGAGUAGGCAUUGGAGUGUGGUAUAAUACUUGUACUCUUCAAAUAUUUCAUUCCCUUAUGUGUUCAUUACUUCUAUUUAUACUUAUUUCUUGCAUGCUUGUGGCUUGAUCA